rnacentral:rRNA from 1 species
AGAGUUAAACAGUACGUGAAAUUGUUGAAAGGGAAACGAUUGAAGUCAGUCGUACCGAUGGGCAUUCAGCCUCUUGAGCACGAUUAUGCGGGCGUUGUGGAGUUUAACCCCUCGCGUUUGCAUAUUUGUGCACUUAGGGUGUACUUGCUCGUAUGGUAGGUUAACAUCAAUUUUGGUCGUCAUAAAAUGACCGGAGGAAUGUGGCUUCGAUUUCGGUUGAAGUGUUAUAGCCUUUGGUAGAUGUGGUGAUUAAGACCGAGGAUUGCAACGAAUACCUUUUAGGCUAUCCGUCUGACCUCUGAAGGUUGCUUAGGUACCGAAAGCUUGCUUAUGACAUUCUAGUUGGCGGUCAAAAGGUUAGAACGUGAUUACAUUCGUUAAGGAUGUUGACGUAAUGGCUUUAAACGACC